rnacentral:rRNA from 1 species
AAUAUUGCACAAUGGAGGAAACUCUGCUGCAGCGACGCCGCGUGCACGAUGAAGGCCUUCGGGUCGUAAAGUUCUGUCCUAGGGGACGAUAAUGACGGUACCCUUGGAGGAAGCCUCCGCUAACUAUGUGCCAGAAGCCGCGGCAAUACGUAGGGGGCAAGCGUUGUCCGGAAUUAUUGGGCGUAAAGCGCGCGCAGGCGGUCUGGAAAGUCGGAAGUGAAAUCUCGGGGCUCACCCCCGAGCCUGCAUACGAAACUUCCAGACUUGAGAGCAAGGGAGGGGAGUGGAAUUCCUAGUGUAGCGGUGAAAUGCGUAGAUAUUAGGAGGAACACCAGUGGCGAAGGCGACUCCCUGGCUUGCAACUGACGCUGAGGCGCGAAAGCGUGGGUAGCGAACAG